rnacentral:rRNA from 1 species
GUGCCAGCCGCCGCGGUAAUACGUAGGUGGCAAGCGUUGUCCGGAUUUAUUGGGCGUAAAGGAUGCGUAGGCGGAUUUUUAAGUGAGAUGUGAAAUCCCCGGGCUUAACUUGGGGGCUGCAUUUCAAACUGGAUGUCUAGAGUGCAGGAGAGGAAAGCAGAAUUCCUAGUGUAGCGGUGAAAUGCGUAGAGAUUUGGAAGAAAACCAGUGGCGAAGGCGGCUUUCUGGACUGCAACUGACGCUGAGGCAUGAAAGCAUGGG